rnacentral:rRNA from 1 species
AUUGAACGCUGGCGGCAUGCCUUACACAUGCAAGUCGAACGGCAGCACGGGAGCAAUCCUGGUGGCGAGUGGCGAACGGGUGAGUGAUACAUCGGAACGUGUCCAGUUGUGGGGGAUAGCCCGGCGAAAGCCGGAUUAAUACCGCAUACGACCUACGGGUGAAAGCGGGGGAGUCGCAAGACCUCGCGCUAUUGGAGCGGCCGAUGUCAGAUUAGCUUGUUGGNGGGGUAAAGGCCUACCAAGGCGACGAUCUGUAGCUGGUCUGAGAGGACGACCAGCCACACUGGGACUGAGACACGGCCCAGACUCCUACGGGAGGCAGCAGUGGGGAAUUUUGGACAAUGGGCGCAAGCCUGAUCCAGCCAUGCCGCGUGCGGGAAGAAGGCCU